CCAAAGCCACGUUGUGAAUUUCCAGGGCCUGUGCUGAGCUGCCAGGGAAACCACAGCCUCUGGAAAGCAAACCCCAAGCCACUGGCGAGGCUCCUUCGGCCCAACCACGGGAGUGUCCGAGCAAAGAUCCAGGGAAGGCCUGAAGAAGGGGUGCCAAGGCCGUCCUCAGCGGGGUGCCUGCGUGCAGAGGGCAGCCCGCUUUCUCCUGAGACACCCGAGAAGCGGGUGCUGCUGUGCUGGGAGACUCUGAGCAUCACCGUUUCUCCUAGACCCUGCCAAGGUGAGGGCCGCGUCCCCAGCUCUGACGGACGGCAGGGGCAGGAAAUGACGGCGAGCAGAGGCCUGAGGACACGGAGGGGCUGGGCAGGCUUGCAUGCCCUUGGCUGGCUCACGGUGCAGACGGAGCCCCCGCUACAGGCCACCGCCUGGUCCCUGCUGGGAGGCACAAGCUGCAGGGAACCUUUAAGGUCGGGUGAGGAGUCAUGCUGCCACCACAGGUGACGCCAGCCUCCAACCAGGGGCUUGAAGCAAAGGCCUAUUUCUUGCUCAACUUCAGUGCCCCUCACGUGUCCAGAGAGGCCUGGCUUUUUGUC
rnacentral:lncRNA from 1 species